rnacentral:rRNA from 1 species
AUUGAACGCUGGCGGCAGGCCUAACACAUGCAAGUCGAGCGAGCGGCGGACGGGUGAGUAAUGUAUGGGGCAUUGCCCGAUAGAGGGGGAUAACUACUGGAUACGGUGGCUAAUACCGCAUAUUAUCGGAUGACCCCCUAUGGGAUUAGCUAGUAUGUUGGGUAAAGGCUCCCCUAGGCGACGAUCGCUAGCUGGUCUGAGAGGAUGAUCAGCCACACUGGGACUGAGACACGGCCCAGACUCCGACGGGAGGCAGCAGUGGGGAAUAUUGCGCAAGGGGGGCAACCCGGACGCAGCCAUGCCGCGUGAAUGAAGAAGGCCUUCGGGUUGUAAAGUUCUUUCAGUAGCGAGGCGUUAACUACAGAAGAAGCACCGGCUAACUCCGUGCCAGCAGCCGCGGUAAUAC